UGGGGAAUUUUGGACAAUGGGGGCAACCCUGAUCCAGCCAUUCCGCGUGAGUGAAGAAGGCCUUCGGGUUGUAAAGCUCUUUCAGCAGGAACGAAACGGUCGGCUUUAAUAAAGUCGGCUAAUGACGGUACCUGCAGAAGAAGCACCGGCUAACUACGUGCCAGCAGCCGCGGUAAUACGUAGGGUGCGAGCGUUAAUCGGAAUUACUGGGCGUAAAGCGUGCGCAGGCGGCGACAUAAGACAGAUGUGAAAUCCCCGGGCUCAACCUGGGAACUGCGUUUGUGACUGUGUUGCUAGAGUGUAGCAGAGGGGGGUGGAAUUCCACGUGUAGCAGUGAAAUGCGUAGAGAUGUGGAGGAACACCGAUGGCGAAGGCAGCCCCCUGGGUUAACACUGACGCUCAUGCACGAAAGCGUGGGGAGCAAACAGGAUUAGAUACCCUCGUAGUCCCUGAGCGGGCUGGCAAGGCGCAU
rnacentral:rRNA from 1 species